AGUGAACGCUGGCGGUAGGCCUAACACAUGCAAGUCGAACGGCAGCACAGUAAGAGCUUGCUCUUACGGGUGGCGAGUGGCGGACGGGUGAGGAAUACAUCGGAAUCUACUUUUUCGUGGGGGAUAACGUAGGGAAACUUACGCUAAUACCGCAUACGACCUACGGGUGAAAGCAGGGGAUCUUCGGACCUUGCGCGAUUGAAUGAGCCGAUGUCGGAUUAGCUAGUUGGCGGGGUAAAGGCCCACCAAGGCGACGAUCCGUAGCUGGUCUGAGAGGAUGACCAGCCAAACUGGAACUGAGACACGGUCCAGACUCCUACGGGAGGCGGCAGUGGGGAAUAUUGGACAAUGGGCGCAAGCCUGAUCCAGCCAUACCGCGUGGGUGAAGAAGGCCUUCGGGUUGUAAAGCCCUUUUGUUGGGAAAGAAAAGCAGCAGGUUAAUACCCCGCUGUUCUGACGGUACCCAAAGAAUAAGCACCGGCUAACUUCGU
rnacentral:rRNA from 1 species